rnacentral:tRNA from 1 species
UGGAGCAUAACUCAAUGGUGAGAGUGGGUGCCUAACCAAACCCCGAAGGGGUGCGACAAGGACCUCGAAGAAGUCCCGAUUAUAUGCAUCUGGUUCAGGGUUCGAAUCCCUGUGCUCCAA